CAUUUGAACUGUAUACAAUAUGAAGCCGCAAACUCUGUGUUUAUCCGUCCUCAUAGUGGUAAACUUGUUUUCUUUGCAGCUAUUCUUCUUGUCGCUGACAUCCCAAGAGUCCACGGAAAGAGUUUAAAUCAAGGGUUGUUAGGUUUUGCAGAAAAUGAAAUAUUAGACUUUGUAAAAAUUAUAAUUAAAUCCAUUAACGAAACUCUGCAAGAACGCCUCACACCUAAGAUGGUUGAACAGAUGAUUAACGAAGGCAAACUACCGGGGAAA
rnacentral:lncRNA from 1 species